rnacentral:rRNA from 1 species
AGAAAUAACAAUACAAGGCAGUUAAAAUGCUUUGUAAUUGGAAUGAUAGAAAUUUAAACCCUUUUUAAAGUAUCAAUUGGAGGGCAAGUCUGGUGCCAGCAGCCGCGGUAAUUCCAGCUCCAAUAGCGUAUAUUAAAAUUGUUGCAGUUAAAAAGCUCGUAGUUGAAGUUCUGCUAAAAGUAACCGGUCUGCUUUUAAUAAAAGUGGUAUCUUGGUGUGUAUUUAGCAAUGAUGUCCUUUGAAGUGUUUUUUACUUUAUUGUAACAAAGCAUAUUCAGGACUUUUACUUUGAGAAAAUUAGAGUGUUUCUAGCAGGCUGACGCUUUGAAUACUGCAGCAUGGAAUAAUAAGAUAGGAUUUUAGUUCUACAUUAUUGGUUUUAAGAGCUAAAUUAAUGAUUGAUAGGGACAGUUGGGGGCAUUUGUAUUUAACUGUCAGAGGUGAAAUUCUUAGAUUUGUUAAAGACAAAC